CUUCUCUAUAUUUAUUCCAUCUCUCUCGUCUCAUUCUUCUUCUUUUUCUUUCUUUCAUCUCUCUCUUCUCAUUUCUCUCAUCUGCUUCAAUCAAACAACCAACAUGGCAAGAACUUUUGAAAGUAUCAAGAACAUCAAUGAUUCGAAGGAGGUCUAAAAAUUGGUGGUCAGAAUCCAUCACAAACGGGUGGUGGUCUCCAAGAAUAAAUAACACUUCGAGAUGA